CCUACGGGAGGCAGCAGUGGGGAAUAUUGCACAAUGGGGGAAACCCUGAUGCAGCGACGCCGCGUGAGUGAAGAAGUAUUUCGGUAUGUAAAGCUCUAGCAGCAGGGAAGAAAAUGACGGUACCGGAGGAAGAAGCCCCGGCUAACGACGUGCCAGCAGCCGCGGUAAGACGUAGGGGGCAAGCGUGAUCCGGAUUUACUGGGUGUAAAGGGAGCGUAGACGGCAGCACAAGUCUGGAGUGAAAUGCCGGGGCUUAACCCCGGAACUGCUUUGGAAACUGUGCAGCUAGAGUGCAGGAGAGGUCAGUGGACUUCCUCGUGUAGCGGUUAAAUGCGUCGCUAUUAGGCGGAACACCAGUGGCGAAGGCGGCUUACUGGCCUGUACCUGACGUUGAGGCUCGAAAGCGUGGGGAGCAAACAGGAUUAGAUACCCGAGUAGUC
rnacentral:rRNA from 1 species